rfam:Lachancea mirantina genome assembly, chromosome: E
AUCCUUAUGCACGGGAAAUACGCAUAUCAGUGAGGAUUCGUCCGAGAUUGUGUUAUUGCUGGUUGAAAUUAAAUUUAACCGACCGCUCCUCAUAGCUAUAUGUGCCUUUUUUGCACUGGGGCUAUGUAGGGAAUUUUUGGAUUCUUUUUUUA